GGCAGUACAGGUACGAGAAAAGCAUGGAAGACACUAAGCAAUUGCAAAUUGAAAGUUUCCAACAGCUUCCUUCGCCUUCAUUAUUCGCAUCUCAGAUUGAAUCCAAAAACGUCCCCGCUGUUUUCCGUGGAUGCAUAAAGGAAUGGAAAGCCUUCACCCGGUGGAAUCCUGUUAACGGCGGCCUCAAUUAUUUGCAGGAACUGGUGGGAUCAUCUACCGUUGAGGCUAUGCUAUCCAGAUCCGCUCCUGUCUUUUAUGGUGAUCUUCGAAGCCAUGAGAGGGUUCCAAUACCAUUCUCCACCUUUAUUGGUCUUUGUAAGGAGUUUAUGUCAAAUGCAGAAAGGCAUGAGCCUGCAGUGUCUGAUGCACAAGAGCAGGACCCUCUGCUAUCUGGUGAUGCUCCUCAAAAAAUUUAUUUGGCCCAGGUGCCAAUUAUGAAUACUGAGGAUCAAGAAAGGGUUCAACUGGGAGUUCUUAGGGAAGACAUUCAAACGCCUGCUUUUUUAGAGACAAAGGAACUGGCUUCUAUUAAUCUGUGGAUGAAUAGUGCUCCUUCUAGAUCAAGUACUCACUAUGAUCCACACCAUAAUGUUCUAUGCAUAGUUGCUGGUUGCAAACAAGUUGUCUUGUGGCCCCCUUCUGCAAGUCCAUCUUUAUACCCAAAGCCUAUAUACGGUGAAGCCUCGAACCACAGUUCUGUUGCUUUAGAAAACCCUGAUUUCUCAUUGUAUCCAAGAGCAGAAUGCUCCAUUGAGUACUCUCAGAAGGUAACUCUUCAUGCAGGUGAUGCACUUUUCAUCCCUGAAGGCUGGUUCCACCAAGUAGACAGUAGCAAUUUGACAAUUGCAGUUAACUUUUGGUGGCGGUCCAACAUAAUGUCUAGCAUGUUAGAACACAUGGAUGCUUAUUAUUUGCGCAGAAUAUUAAGAAGAUUGACGGAUAAAGAAAUGAACCACAUACUCCAGAAGGCUUCUUCUCCUAGCAUGGAGAAACAGAAGAUGCCCACAUGCAAGCUGCUUAGUAAUGGAGAGGCAGAUCAUAGUCACUGUGAUUUGAUGCAGCCAUGUGAAAAAAGUGAUUUACAAGGGACAGACCAACAGCAGAGAGUUAACUUGCAUCUAUUGGAGCCUUAUGCACUCCAGGUUCUUCAUGAUCUUGUUUCUUUGGUUCAUGACCGUGUUAACUUGAUUGACCAAAGUCAUUUGGUAGAGUCAACUUCAGCAAAUGAUUCUGCAGUUAGUAUGAAAGGUCAAUAUGAUAAGACAGCAACAACUAAUGUGUUUAUCCUUGAAGAUGAUCCAGUUGCUAAAAUUCUUUGGACCCUUGAUCCACACACUCUUCAGAAUGUCCUUCUUUCUAUGGCGGACAAUUUUCCAAGAACUUUGGAGGCUUUGAUACUGCACUUGCUUUCACCGGUGGGAGCAGAAGUACUCACACAGAAAUUUGAUGAGAUGGAUCAACUAACCACUGAAGAAAAUAGGAACAAAUUCUAUGAAGUUUUCUAUGAGGCAUUUGAUGACCAAUUUGCUGCUAUGGAUGCAAUUCUGAAUGGGAAAGAAUUAUUUGCUCUCCAGUUGGACAAGAAUCUUCCAAGCAUGCCAAUAGAUAGAACACUUCCUGGACGUUUCAGAAUCCAUCUGAAAUGAAACUAAUGUUUAUCAAGGAUGAUGGGAUUAUGCUUCAGGGACACACACGCAUUUCAGAAUGUGUUGGAUAAAUACUUGGGAGUAAGCUUUGAUGUGCGAAAACCAUCAACUGGAUAAGACGUUUAGUGACGCAACUUCAUGAAGGAAUUGGUCCCAUCAAAAGAGUCCAUCAGUGAAGAAGCUUUCUGUCUUAAUCGUACUUUUACGUGUGAGUCAUCCACAAUUUUGUAGAAAUAUAAAUCAUUGCCAACUUUGAAUGAUGAUGUAUAUCUCAGCUGUAACUUGCCGUACCAUCCAAUUUCUUUGCCUUUAAUGAUACUUGCACAAACAAUUGUUUAAAAUCUUGUGGAGUCUAAAUUAUGAAAGUCACGUUUGUGUUUCCUGAUAUGGGAUCCAAAUGGUCCAUGAAAGAUUGUAACAGCUAAGAAGGCAUAUUCAGAGGAUGGGUUCCUGUAUCUUGCUGAAUCAAUAGCAAUUUUUCCCCAGACAAAAAUCUUGCAGGUUUAAAUUUGACCAAAAUUGUUGGAAAUGUUGUGUUAGAUAAUAAUCUUCUGUUAGGAUGUGAUAUGCUCAAGCCAACAAGAAUGCCUGUUGAUAUUCUUUGAUACCGGGGGUAUCAUGGAUGAGUAACACGUGGAAAGUAUUUGGAAGGGUAUGAAUACGGUGAUGAGAAUGUAGAUGAUGACUUACGUUCAGUAUAUGUUGUUCGGGUGGUAAGGACUUUGGUCCGAGCGGGUGAGAUUGGGUUUCUGUGAUUUGUAUCUGCUUCUACAAGAUAGCAAAGUAUUAGAGAACCAAAAGGGAGCUAUUUCCUAGUGGCACUCCAAUAAUUAAGUUAGUGAGGGUUGAAAGGAUAAAGGAUGGCAAAAUAAUAAGAGAGCUAAGUAUGAGUUCGAAUGUUUUACCUAAAGGUGCCUUAACGUUUUAUAUAUUGAUUGUUGGAUCAAUGGUAUGGUGGAGUGCCAGGUGUUGUU
rnacentral:misc_RNA from 1 species